AGUGGGGAAUAUUGCACAAUGGGCGCAAGCCUGAUGCAGCCAUGCCGCGUGUGUGAAGAAGGCCUUAGGGUUGUAAAGCACUUUCAGUCGUGAGGAAAGGUGUGUGCUUAAUACGUACAUACUGUGACGUUAGCGACAGAAGAAGGACCGGCUAACUCCGUGCCAGCAGCCGCGGUAAUACGGAGGGUCCGAGCGUUAAUCGGAAUUACUGGGCGUAAAGCGCGCGUAGGUGGAUUGGUCAGUCAGAUGUGAAAGCCCAGGGCUCAACCUUGGAACUGCAUCUGAUACUGCUAGUCUAGAAUACAGUAGAGGGUAGUGGAAUUUCCUGUGUAGCGGUGAAAUGCGUAGAUAUAGGAAGGAACACCAGUGGCGAAGGCGACUACCUGGACUGAUAUUGACACUGAGGUGCGAAAGCGUGGGGAGCAAACAGGAUUAGAUACCCUGGUAGUCCACGCCGUAAACGAUGUCUACUAGCCGUUGGAAGACUUGAUCUUUUAGUGGCGAAGCUAACGCGAUAAGUAGACCGCCUGGGGAGUACGGCCGCAAGGUUAAAACUCAAAUGAAUUGACGGGGGCCCGCACAAGCGGUGGAGCAUGUGGUUUAAUUCGACGCAACGCGAAGAACCUUACCAACUCUUGACAUCCAGAGAAGAGGCUAGAGAUAGCUUUGUGCCUUCGGGAGCUCUGAGACAGGUGCUGCAUGGCUGUCGUCAGCUCGUGUUGUGAAAUGUUGGGUUAAGUCCCGCAACGAGCGCAACCCUUGUCCUUAUUUGCCAGCACGUAAUGGUGGGAACUCUAAGGAGACUGCCGGUGACAAACCGGAGGAAGGUGGGGACGACGUCAAGUCAUCAUGGCCCUUACGAGUUGGGCUACACACGUGCUACAAUGGCCGGUACAGAGGGCUGCAAACCUGCGAAGGUAAGCUAAUCUCACAAAACCGGUCGUAGUCCGGAUUGGAGUCUGCAACUCGACUCCAUGAAGUCGGAAUCGCUAGUAAUCGUGGAUCAGAAUGCCACGGUGAAUACGU
rnacentral:rRNA from 1 species